UACAGAGGUCUCAAGCGUUGUUCGGAUUCAUUGGGCGUAAAGGGUGCGUAGGCGGCGCGGUAAGUCGGAUGUGAAAUCUCGGAGCUUAACUCCGAAACUGCAUUCGAUACUGCCGUGCUUGAGGACUGGAGAGGAGACUGGAAUUUACGGUGUAGCGGUGAAAUGCGUAGAUAUCGUAAGGAAGACCAGUGGCGAAGGCAGGUCUCUGGACAGUUCCUGACGCUGAGGCACGAAGGCCAGGGGAGCAAACGGG
rnacentral:rRNA from 1 species